rnacentral:rRNA from 1 species
GACGAACGCUGGCGGCGUGCUUAACACAUGCAAGUCGAACGGUAAGGCCCCUUCGGGGUUACACGAGUGGCGAACGGGUGAGUAACACGUGAGCAACCUGCCCUUGACUCUGGAAUAACAGUUGGAAACAGCUGCUAAUACUGGAUAUUCAUCGUCUCCUUCCUGGGGGGUGGUGGAAAGCUCCGGCGGUCAGGGAUGGGCUCGCGGCCUAUCAGCUUGUUGGUGAGGUAAUGGCUCACCAAGGCUUCGACGGGUAGCCGGCCUGAGAGGGCGACCGGCCACACUGGGACUGAGAUACGGCCCAGACUCCUACGGGAGGCAGCAGUGGGGAAUAUUGCACAAUGGGCGCAAGCCUGAUGCAGCAACGCCGCGUGCGGGAUGACGGCCUUCGGGUUGUAAACCGCUUUCAGUAGGGACGAAGGGUGACUGACGGUACCUACAGAAGAAGGACCGGCUAACUACGUG